rnacentral:rRNA from 1 species
AUUGAACGCUGGCGGCAGGCCUAACACAUGCAAGUCGAACGAGUGGCGGACGGGUGAGUAAUGUCUGGGAAACUGCCUGAUGGAGGGGGAUAACUACUGGAAACGGUAGCUAAUACCGCCUACCAUCGGAUGUGCCCAGAUGGGAUUAGCUAGUAGGUGGGGUAGAGGCUUACCUAGGCGACGAUCCCUAGCUGGUCUGAGAGGAUGACCAGCCACACGGGAACUGAGACACGGUCGAGACGCCUACGGGGUUCAGCAGGGGGGAAUAUUGCACAAUGGGCGCAAGCCUGAUGGAGCCAUGCCGCGUGUAUGAAGAAGGCCUGCGGGUUGUAAAGUACUUACAGCGGGGAGGCGUUACCCGCAGAAGAAGCCCCGGCUAACUCCGUGCCAGCAGCCGCGGUAAUUC